rnacentral:rRNA from 1 species
UCGAACGGGACUGGGGGCAACUCCAGUUCUCUGGCGGACGGGUGCGUAACACGUGAGGAACAUGACUUUCGGCGGGGGAUAGCCGGCCCAACGGCCGGGUAAUACCGCGUACGACCUCUCGGGGACAUCCCCGGUUGGUGAAAGCAGCAAUGCACCGAAAGAGUGCCUCGCGGCCUAUCAGCUAGUUGGUGGGGUAACGGCUCACCAAGGCGACGACGGGUAGCUGGUCUGAGAGGAUGGCCAGCCACAUUGGGACUGAGACACGGCCCAGACUCCUACGGGAGGCAGCAGUGGGGAAUAUUGCGCAAUGGGCGAAAGCCUGACGCAACGACGCCGCGUGUGGGAUGACGGCCUUCGGGUUGUAAACCACUGUCGGGGAGGGACGAAUGCGCCGCAAGGCGAGUGACGGUACCUCCCAAGGAAGCUCCGGCUAACUCCGUGCCAGCAGCCGCGGUAAUACCGGGGGAGCAAGCGUUGUUCGGAUUUACUGGGCGUAAA